rnacentral:sRNA from 1 species
ACUCUCUGGUUUCCGCCCUGGAGCAAGCCCUGGCCUGGUCGGCAGCUGGGCCGCCAUGGAGUCCACGCUGGGCGCGGGCAUCGUGAUAGCCGAGGCGCUACAGAACCAGCUAGCCUGGCUGGAGAACGUGUGGCUCUGGAUCACCUUUCUGGGCGAUCCCAAGAUCCUCUUUCUGUUCUACUUCCCCGCGGCCUACUACGCCUCCCGCCGUGUGGGCAUCGCGGUGCUCUGGAUCAGCCUCAUCACCGAGUGGCUCAACCUCAUCUUCAAGUGGUGAGACAGAGAAGCCCUCCGGCAUCCUGGUCCCCACCCCCGAGGGCCCUGAGUCAUGUGUAAGCCCUGGUCUCUUUCAGCAAUUGUCUCAAGGGCCUUCCCACCCCUACUCUGUAGUCCCUGAUUUUUUUCCCCCUUGAGCAUCUUUGUGCAGCUUGGACUCAAACCUCAGAGUCCAACCAUCCUACUCAUUAGACCAGUGUUCUUCAAACUGGUCUGAUGGAAAAAUCAUCUAAGGGGCGUGUCUAAAAUGUAAAUAUCCCAUCCUCAUCUCACACUUACUAAUUUAGAAACUCCAAGGGGUUGGGAAUUUAUUUUUUUUUAUUUUUGGUUUAUGAGAAUUCAUAUUUUAACAAGUAUCUAUGGUGAUUUAAGUAGUGGAGAGUCCUACCUCUCAACUCACUUUUUCAUUCAUCUAUUCAUUUGCUAUAAUUUUUCAGAAGCAUGCUUUGUGCUGGGCAUCACAGUAGCUGCUAAGGACAGAGACACCUUGCAGAUUAAGGUGUGGUCCCUGGACUAUGCCCAACGGCAUAGGCAGCACUUGAAAACUAGCUAGAAAUGCAGACUCUCAGGCCCCGGGCCAGAGCUACUGAAUCAAAAUCUGCAUUUUAACAAGGUUCCCAGGUGAUUCCCUGUGCGUAUGCAGUAAAGUUUGGGCUAAAGCACUGCUUUCCAGGGAACACUUUCUCUUCUUUCUCUUUCAUUCACCAGUAGACUCUUCACACUGAGACUUAGAAGCCAGGAAUCCCAGGGACACGGGUGGAGGCCCUGUGGCCCUUGGGGCUGGGCAUGCAGCCACACCUCCCUUCACCUCAGCCUCUGUGGCCAAAUACUCAGCCUGGGGGAAGGAAGGGAGGUUCAUAGGAGGUAUUUCAAUGGGCUGGAAUGACUUGCUGAAAAACAACAUAGAGUUCCCCUCCCUUCCACUCUUUUCCAGGAGGGCCUCAUCCUUAUGUAAAGGGAACCACAGUGGUCUGUUCACUUCUUUCUUGCCUAAUUGCCCUUUGCUUUGUGCUUUCUCCUCCCUCAAAGUCUGUAUAAGCCUCCCCUUCUAGUCCUUGUCCCCCAAAGAUCACAGUCUCCUUCAGACACUAUUAAUGUCCCCCAGGUGGCAAAGUCCCUCUUCAUUUUCAUUUUCUUUUUUCUUUCUUUUUUUUUUUUUUUUUUGAGACGGAGUCUCGCUCAGUCGCCCAGGCUGGAGUGCAGUGGCGCAAUCUUGGCUCACUGCAAACUCCGCCUCCCGGGUUCAUGCCAUUCUCCUGCCUCAGCCUCCCAAGUAGCUGGGAUUAUAGGCACCCACUACCACGCCUGGCUAAUUUUUGUAUUUUUAGUAGAGACAGGGUUUCGUCUUGUUGGCCAGGCUAGUCUCAAACUCCUGGCCUCAAGUGAUCCACCCUCCUCUGCCUCCCAAAGUGCUGGGAUUACAGGCGUGAGCCACCGCGCCUGGCACCCCCGUUCAUUUUCUGUGUGAGCACUUGAUGUAUACUAGGCUCAGUUUUCAGAGAGGAGAGGCAAGUGCUUUCUGUAUCUCCCUCCCCAGCACGUGGCCUCCUGCCAGCAUCUCUUUUGCUACCCCAUCUUUUCACUUUCUGGCCACAGCAGCCUCUUCAUUGUGUGGUUCCCAGGGCCCAGCCAAGCACUUGCUAGACCAGAGGAUUUUGACAUUUUUUUGUCCUCCUUAUUCUUUCUCAGCCUUCUCUGUCCAUUUCCCACUCCCAUUUUCAGACCCAAGAGGCUCACCUAAAUAAUUUAGGUGUGGAUAAUUCAGGCUGUAACUGGGGACAUGGAGGCAGGGGUAGCAGGUGGGUUAGUGAGGGCCUGGGGGAGAGAGCUGGGUCCUGGACUCUCUGUGGAUGAUAAGAGCUGGCCUUGCAGUGAGAGGGGGUAGAGUGGGACGACUGAGUAUCUCAGAGCACACACACAUGCUUACCACAAUCUCUUGCCUCUGCAUCAGUUUUAUUUUUUAUUUUAUUUACUUUUUCUUUUUUUGAGACAGGAUCUCACCCCAUCACCAGGCUGGAGUACAAUGGCACGAACACAGCUCACUGCAGCCUCAACCUCCUGGGCUCAAGUGAUCCUUCCCACUUCAGCCUCUGGAGUAGCAGGGACUACAGGCGCACCCCAAGAUGCCUGGCUAAUUUUUGUAUUUUUUGUAGAGAUGGAGUUUUGUCAUGUUGCCCAGGCUAUUCUCGAAAUCCUGGGCUCAAGUGAUCUGCCCACCCAGCCUCCCAAGUAGCUGAGACUAUAGGUGUGCACCACCACUUCCAGCUAAUUUUUUGUUUUUGUUGAAUCUGGGUCUUGCUAUGUUGCCCAGGCUGGUCAUGAACUCCUGGCUUCAAGUGAUCCUCCAGCUAAGGCCUCCCAAAGUACUGGGAAUACAGUCAUGAGCCACUGUACCUGGCCCCAGACUAGUCUUUAAAAAUAGUGUUUCCACAGGCUCUGAGGGUUAGG